rnacentral:rRNA from 1 species
AAGGGCGCACGGUGGAUGCCUUGGCACUAGAAGCCGACGAAGGACGUUACUAACGACGAUAUGCUUUGGGUAGCUGUAAGUAAGCGUUGAUCCAGAGAUUUCCGAAUGGGGGAACCCAGCACGAGUUAUGUCGUGUUAUCGACAAGUGAAUUCAUAGCUUGUCAGAAGGCAGACCCGGAGAACUGAAACAUCUUAGUACCCGGAGGAAGAGAAAGAAAAAUCGAUUCCCUGAGUAGCGGCGAGCGAAACGGGAAGAGCCCAAACCAAUAAGCUUGCUUAUUGGGGUUGUAGGACACUCUAUACGGAGUUACAAAGGAAUAUAUUAGACGAAUCAUCUGGAAAGUUGAAUCAAAGAAGGUAAUAAUCCUGUAGUUGAAAAUAUAUUCUCUCUUGAGUGGAUCCUGAGUACGACGGAGCACGUGAAAUUCCGUCGGAAUCUGGGAGGACCAUCUCCUAAGGCUAAAUACUCUCUAGUGACCGAUAGUGAACCAGUACCGUGAGGGAAAGGUGAAAAGUACCCCGGAAGGGGAGUGAAAGAGAACUUGAAACCGUGUGCUUACAAGUAGUCAGAGCCCGUUAAUGGGUGAUGGCGUGCCUUUUGUAGAAUGAACCGGCGAGUUACGAUCUGAUGCAAGGUUAAGCAGGA